rnacentral:misc_RNA from 1 species
UUUUUAAUUUUUUUUGCGUCGCGUGCAGAACAAAACGCAUGUGCGCGGCAUAUAUUUACGACGUUUUAUUAUUUUCCAUGUUUGCAGUAAGUUUCAGCUCGUUGCUCAUUAUUCACGCGUCUAGCGGUGGCGUUGUGGCGCGGCAAGCGCGUUCUGAAAGGGGUCGAAGCCGUGGUAAAUAGGCGCUGGUGCGGUUGAGAGGGAAGGGUGGAAACCGUGGUAAACUCGUCUCCGUAGUUGAGCGGGAGCGGCGAAAGCAAUGUACAAUAGUCUCCGCAGUGGAGCUGGGAGGGGCAAGCAUAAGGGAUGAAGACGGGGGUAACAUGUC